UACGGAGGGUGCAAGCGUUAUCCGGAAUGAUUGGGUUUAAAGGGUGCGUAGGCGGCCUUAUAAGUCAGCGGUGAAAGCUUUUGGCUUAACCAAAAAAUUGCCGUUGAUACUGUAGAGCUUGAAUUUUUGUGAAGUAACUAGAAUAUGUAGUGUAGCGGUGAAAUGCUUAGAUAUUACGUGGAAUACCAAUUGCGAAGGCAGGUUUCUAACAAACGAUUGACGCUGAUGGACGAAAGCGUGGGUAGCGAACAGG
rnacentral:rRNA from 1 species